rnacentral:misc_RNA from 1 species
CAACACAGAGCUCGAGCUCGAUUUCUCCCCUUACUUCCGCAUAUACAAGAGCGGCCGCAUCGAACGCCUACGCGGCACCGACGUCGUUCCCGCCUCCGUCGAUCCCGCCACCGGCGUUGCCUCCAAAGACGUCACCAUCAACCCCAUCACCGGUGUCUCAGCCCGCCUCUACCUCCCGCCCCUCUCCUCCCCACCUUCCAAGCUCCCCAUCCUCGUCUACUACCACGGCGGUGGCUUCAUCAUCGAAUCACCCUUCUCCCCGGUCUACCACCUCUACCUCACCUCCCUAGCCGCCAAAGCCGGCAUCAUCGUCGUCUCCGUUCACUACCGCCUCGCACCCGAGCACCCCCUCCCCGCCGCCUAUGACGACUCGUGGGCGGCGCUCAAAUGGG